UGACCACUGACACCUUGCAGAAGGAGGGCAAGACACAAAAGGUCAUUGCAAAAGAGGCUGGCUGUUCACAGAGCUCUGUGUCCAAGCACAUUAAUUAACUCUAACAGCUGAGUUAGUCCAUAUAACCCAAAAUUUCAUUAAAACAAUCCAGCAUUUUUUGGAGUGUACCUAUACCGUCCCACACAUAUUACCAUAUCUACUGUCUAUUGCUUGUUUAUUAUUCAUGACAUACUUUCUUCCAGAUUAUGGCUUCCUACACCUCACCAUCAAAAUUCCCCAAAAUACACCACCCUGAGACUGAAUCAAUUCAUGACCGCCUCCAACUCAUUGCUUACAAAUGCCAAGAUCCAUCUGUCAACCCCAUCGAAACACCACAACUUUGUAAUCUAGGCACUAAUAUCAUGAAAAUCAUGUCACACUGUGACAACCAAAACAAGGCUCUCCAGCAAUGUGUCACUACACUUCGUUCAGAACUACAAGACAUGAAAAAAAAAACUCUCAGAAGCUCUAACUUCUGCAGAAAUCAACACUGCUACCCAAUACUUUUUCAAAGAUGAACAAUGUGACAUGUCCUCACAGACGGAGCAUGUCCCUUCAACAUUACCUGAACACUUACCUGAGAAUAACAACUAUCAAGAAAUACAAGCUGCAACAAAGUCUUCUCCAAAACCAACCAAAGAUCUACAGAAUGCUUAACAUUCAUUAUAUUGUGACCACACUUUUUAUGCUGCACUGUUUUUUUACUUUUAAAAACUACAAAUU